rnacentral:rRNA from 1 species
AGUGAACGCUGGCGGUAGGCCUAACACAUGCAAGUCGAACGGCAGCACAGUAAGAGCUUGCUCUUACGGGUGGCGAGUGGCGGACGGGUGAGGAAUACAUCGGAAUCUACUUUUUCGUGGGGGAUAACGUAGGGAAACUUACGCUAAUACCGCAUACGACCUACGGGUGAAAGCAGGGGAUCUUCGGACCUUGCGCGAUUGAAUGAGCCGAUGUCGGAUUAGCUAGUUGGCGGGGUAAAGGCCCACCAAGGCGACGAUGCGUAGCUGGUCUGAGAGGAUGAUCAGACAGACUGGAAGUGAGACACGGCCCAGACUCUUACGGGAGGCAGCAGUGGGGAAUAUUAGACAAUGGGCGCAAGCCUGAUCCAGCAAUACCGCGUGGGUGAAGAAGGACUUCGGGUUGUAAAGCCCUGUUGUUGGGAAAGAAAAGCAGCAGGUUAAUCCGCCGCGGUACUGACGGUACCGAAAGAAUAAGCACCGGCUAACUUCGUG